rnacentral:misc_RNA from 1 species
UUAAGUUCAGCGGGUCUUCCUACCUGAUCCGAGGUCAACCUUGGGUAAAUAAGGCUUUUAACGGCCGGAACCCGCAGCACGCCCAGAGCGAGAUGUAACUACUACGCUCGGGGUGACAGCGAGCCCGCCACUGGUUUUCAGGGCCUGCGGUCACCCGCAGAUGCCCCAACGCCAGGCCGGCUAGGGCCUGAGGGUUGAAA